rnacentral:rRNA from 1 species
GAUGAACGCUGGCGGCGUGCCUAAUACAUGCAAGUCGAGCGAACAGACGAGGAGCUUGCUCCUCUGACGUUAGCGGCGGACGGGUGAUUAACACGUGGAUAACCUACCUAUAAGACUGGGAUAACUUCGGGAAACCGGAGCUAAUACCGGAUAAUAUAUUGAACCGCAUGGUUCAAUAGUGAAAGACGGUUUUGCUGUCACUUAUAGAUGGAUCCGCGCCGCAUUAGCUAGUUGGUAAGGUAACGGCUUACCAAGGCAACGAUGCGUAGCCGACCUGAGAGGGUGACCGGCCACACUGGAACUGAGACACGGUCCAGACUCCUACGGGAGGCAGCAGUAGGGAAUCUUCCGCAAUGGGCGAAAGCCUGACGGAGCAACGCCGCGUGAGUGAUGAAGGUCUUCGGAUCGUAAAACUCUGUUAUUAGGGAAGAACAAAUGUGUAAGUAACUAUGCACGUCUUGACGGUACCUAAUCAGAAAGCCACGGCUAACUACGUG